UUGUUGCUUAAGGUAUUUUAUUCCAGGAAGUUUGCUUCUUUAGUUAAUGAAAGAUUCAUUCCAGGAAGUUUCGUUUCACCUCUUUAGUUGUAGUUUAUUUCAAUUUUUCUUGAUUUUGCAGCCUUUUCAUUUCAUUAGUAUCUGCUUUUGGUAUAAAUCUUCCCUUCAAUUAUAUUCAGUAUUGGGAUUGAUUGAAUUGCUUUUCAUAAGUGCAGUCAUUUCUCUUUUCAGGUUAAUGCUUACUCAAAGAACUAUUUUGUUGGGUUAAGCCCGCUGUCCAUUGCAGCAAAAUAUGGCGAAAGAUUUAUUGCAUCUUUGCUUGAAGAGUAGAUCCAAAUUUAUUGCAUCUUUGCUUGAAGAGUGGAUAAUCAAAAUCUAGGCAAACUAGCUGAAUGUGCCCAAUUCUUUGAAUUGAGAAAGUGAGUGAUUGGACCUGUGAAGCCAUGGCUCUGUCAUAUGGUGAACUUGAUCUAAACAAGGCGGCUGACACUUUGCAGCUGUAUAUUUCUCAACCCCAACUGGACUCAGCUUCAGGAGGUAUUCUUCACUCUGCGGUCGCGAGCAGCUUAACAGUUAUAUAGUUGAAGGAUAAGAUACAAGAUUAUAGAGCUUAUAGAGAGGUGCUGGUUUUAGAAGGCAACGGAAGCCCUAGUUUUUUUUUUUUUUUGAGUUGGGCUCAAAACAUUAUGUAUGAAUGUUUUGUGAUAUAUAUAAUAUAUGUUAUUGAUGGUUUUAUCA